AACGAACGCUGGCGGCAGUCCCAACACAUGCAAGUCGAACGGGCACCUUCGGGUGUCAGUGGCAGACGGGUGAGUAACGCGUGGGAACCUACCCAGUGGUACGGAAUAACUCGGGGAAACCCGAGCUAAUACCGUAUACGCCCUCAGGGGAAAGAUUCAUCGCCAUUGGAUGGGCCCGCGCCGGAUUAGCUAGUUGGUGAGGUAACGGCUCACCAAGGCGAUGAUCCGUAGCUGGUCUGAGAGGAUGAUCAGCCACACUGGGACUGAGACACGGCCCAGACUCCUACGGGAGGCAGCAGUGGGGAAUAUUGGACAAUGGGCGAAAGGCCUGAUCCAGCCAUGCCGCGUGAGUGAAGAAGGCCCUAGGGUUGUAAAGCUCUUUCGGCGGGGAAGAUAAUGACGGUACCCGCAGAAGAAGCCCCGGCUAACUCCGUGCCAGCAGCCGCGGUAAUACGGAGGGGGCUAGCGUUGUUCGGAAUUACUGGGCGUAAAGCGCACGUAGGCGGACUGCU
rnacentral:rRNA from 1 species